rnacentral:rRNA from 1 species
UACGUAGGGUGCGAGCGUUAAUCGGAAUUACUGGGCGUAAAGGGUGCGUAGGCGGUUUAAUAAGUUAGGUGUGAAAGUCCCGGGCUUAACCUGGGGAUUGCGCCUAAUACUGUUGAACUUGAGUACUGUAGAGGAAGGUGGAAUUUCCGGUGUAGCGGUGAAAUGCGUAGAUAUCGGAAGGAACACCAGUGGCGAAGGCGACCUUCUGGACAGAUACUGACGCUGAGGCACGAAAGCGUGGGGAGCAAACAGG